GGAUGCUGGGGAAUAAAAAGGAAGCUUCAUGCUUAAGUUUUUCUGGUAGAAAUGAAAUGAGUGGAUAUAUGUAAAUUUCUUACAUGCAUGCCUGAUAGAUAAUUAAGUGCUUAAGAAAGGGUAGUUGUUGUGCUAAGGAUUAAAUCAAGGUGUGUUUGUUAAGUAUAGUGUCUAGUACCAUAUUAGGAACUGGAUCCAUUUUGGUUCCUAUUAAUAUUUCUACAACAGAAGUUAAGGAACACAGAGAAGGAGAAAUUAAUAUUACUGAGAGAGGAGUUAGUAACUUUCUUGUGAAAAAAAAGCUUAUGCAACUUGAUCAAAGUCUUACAGCAAGUGAGCAGCAAAACUAGGGUUCAACCCAGAGGUGUUACUCCUAGCCCAGAGUUUCCCAUGCAGUUAGUGUUCCCAGAGGCAAAUGGAUGUGGGUGGGUGCAGCAAGCCUGAGGUUAGGCCGGCUGGCAGCCAGCCUCUCACCCUGUAAUAAACCUAGUGAGUGUUGAGGAUCUGGGCCUGAUCAAGAAUGACCAGUGGUUUAUCAAGGUUAGGGGGAAGCGCAGACUUGGUUUUACCUAGAGCUAAAGCCAGAUUUCUAAGGGUUUCAUUGUGCUCAACAAGGAUGACUCAGGCUUGUCUAGUUUGAGGCUAGGAGAGAGUGGACUAUGUCAUUCCUUCUCUUUUUUAAACAUUUUUUGUAUUGAUAUUACAAAGGUAAUGGAAA